GAUUAGUCAGGCCUCAGAAAGAUGGCGUCCUCGGAGCAGGCAGAGCAGCCGAGCCAGCCAAGCUCUACUCCAGGAAGUGAAAAUGUGCUGCCUCGAGAGCCGCUGGGACUUGCUGUGCUGCUCAGGCUGGAGUGCAGUGUGCAAACACGGCUUACUGCAGCCUUCACCUUCCGGCCGAAGUGAUCCUCCCGCCUCGACCUCCAUGUAGCUGGGACCAUAGAUGUGUGCCACCACACCCAGCUCAUUUGAAAUUUUUGUUGUUGUUGUUGAACAGAAGUGGUGAGAGUAAAAUAAAAAUAAAUUAAAUAA
rnacentral:lncRNA from 10 species